GGUUGCUGCUGGCUCUCUAGGGAGCAUGUGCACACUUGUCAUCUUUAUAUCUCCACCUGUGCACCUUUUGUAGAUCUGGAUAUCUUUCUGAACGCCUGGCGUUCAGGUUUGGGGAUUGACUUUUGUCUUUCCUUACAUUUCCAGGCCUAUGUUUUCUUCAUAUACACCAUUUAUGUUAUAGAAUGUAAUGAAAAAGGCCUUCGUGCCUACAAACUUUAUACAACUUUCAGCAACGGAUCUCUUGGCUCUCGCAUCGAUGAAGAACGCAGCGAAAUGCGAUAAGUAAUGUGAAUUGCAGAAUUCAGUGAAUCAUCGAAUCUUUGAACGCACCUUGCGCUCCUUGGUAUUCCGAGGAGCAUGCCUGUUUGAGUGUCAUUAAUAUAUCAACCUCCUCAGGUUUUUACUUGUCGAGUGUUUGGAUGUGGGGGUUUUUUUGCUGGUCUCUUUUGAGGUCGGCUCCCCUAAAAUGCAUUAGCGGAACAAUUUGUUGACCCGUUCAUUGGUGUGAUAACUAUCUACGCUUUUGACGUUAAACAGGUUCAGCUUCUAACAGUCCAUUGACUUGGACAAAUUUUCAUUAAUGUGACCUCAAAUCAGGUAGGACUACCCGCUGAACUUAAGCAUAUCAUAA
rnacentral:rRNA from 1 species